UUGAAAUAGAUUUCCGCAAAGCGUUUGCAGAAAGGGUGGGAAUAGGCGGCCAUGGCGACGGAAUCGGACGGGGAAGAGGAGACAGCGACGGCCGCGGGGAAGCUGACGGGGAGUCCUCAGCUGUCGGUUGACGACGAUCUCCGUGAGAUGGCGAAGAAGGCCGCGUGGAGCGUCAGCUCUUGCAAGCCCGGGAACGGCGUCCUCUCCCUCCGCGACGAAAACCUCGAUACCUACUGGCAAUCGGAUGGAGCCCAACCCCAUCUGGUCAAUAUCCAGUUUCAGAAGAAGGUUAAGCUGCAGCUGGUUGUCCUCUAUGUGGAUUUCAAGUUGGAUGAGAGUUACACACCAAGCAAGAUCUCAAUCCGUGCUGGUGAUGGUUUCCACAACCUAAAGGAGAUAAAAACUGUGGAGCUUGUGAAGCCAGUUGGUUGGGUCCAUAUCUCUUUGUCUGGUAAUGAUCCCCGGGAAACCUUUAUUCAUACUUUUAUGCUCCAAAUUGCUGUUUUAUCCAAUCAUCUAAAUGGAAGGGACACACACAUACGUCAAGUCAAAAUAUACGGGCCUCGACCGAACCCUGUUCCCCUUCAACCAUUUCAUUUUACUUCGAAAGAAUUCAUCACUUACUCGAUCCUUCGGUAACAAUCGUCCUUAUAGAUAUGCAGGAAGUGUGGAAGAUCAGCAGUCCUUCCUGGUGUGAGCACACUGAAAAACAAGAAUUUGUUCUAACAUUUUAUCUUGAAAUUUCCAGACAUAAUUUUGUGCAAAUUUCCGAGCUUUAUCUUGGUGCAAAAGCUCAACAAGAUUCUGAACCAAUUUACAGAGACCUGUUGGGCACAAAGGAUUUUGAUUCAGUCAAUGUUCAAGAUUCUAUGACCAUAAUGUUCUAACAGUGAUCUCCUCUGAUUUCAGACAUUUUACCUAAUAGAGAUAAUGGCAAUUAUAUUCUGGUCAAUCGCUGGGACAGCCGAAUGUGAAUGACCGCCUUGCACGAGGGAAUCAAAUGUUUACCUGUCACUAGUUGCAUUGAUUGAAGGAUGUUUUUUUAUACAAACAGUAAUAUAUUUGUUCUGUGACCUAAGUACAGUAUCUUCAUCCUGAUUUGUUUUUGUCCUCCA